rnacentral:rRNA from 1 species
CCUACGGGAGGCAGCAGUGGGGAAUAUUGGGCAAUGGGCGCAAGCCUGACCCAGCAACGCCGCGUGAAGGAAGAAGGCUUUCGGGUUGUAAACUUCUUUUCUCAGGGACGAAGCAAGUGACGGUACCUGAGGAAUACGCCCCUGCUAACUACGUGCCAGCAGCCGCGGUAAUCCGUAGGUGGCAAGCGUUAUCUGGAUUUACUGGGUGUAAAGGGCGUGUAGGCGGGACUGCAAGUCAGAUGUGAAAACCACGGGCUCAACCUGUGGCCUGCAUUUGAAACUGUAGUUCUUGAGGACUGGAGAGGCAGACGGAAUUCCUAGUGGAGCGGUGAAAUGCGUAGAUAUUAGGAGGAACACCAGUGGCGAAGGCGGUCUGCUGGACAGCAACUGACGCUGAGGCGCGAAAGCGUGGGGAGCAAACAGGAUUAGAUACCCUUGUAGUC